rnacentral:snRNA from 1 species
AGCUUUGUACAGUGGCAGUAUCAUAGCCAAUGAGGUUUUAUCUGAGGCAUGAUUAUUGCUAAUUGAAGACUUUUCCCAGAUGAC